AGCGGCGGACGGGUGAGGAACACGUGGGUAACCUGCCCAAGAGACUGGGAUAACACCUGGAAACAGAUGCUAAUACCGGAUAACAACACUAGACGCAUGUCUAGAGUUUGAAAGAUGGUUCUGCUAUCACUCUUGGAUGGACCUGCGGUGCAUUAGCUAGUUGGUAAGGUAACGGCUUACCAAGGCAAUGAUGCAUAGCCGAGUUGAGAGACGGAUCGGCCACAUUGGGACUGAGACACGGCCCAAACUCCUACGGGAGGCAGCAGUAGGGAAUCUUCCACAAUGGACGAAAGUCUGAUGGUGCAACGCCGCGUGAGUGAAGAAGGAUUUCGGCUCGUAAAGCUCUGUUGGUAGUGAAGAAAGAUAGAGGUAGUAACUGGCCUUUAUUUGACGGUAAUUACUUAGAAAGUCACGGCUAACUACGUGCCAGCAGCCGCGGUAAUACGUAGGUGGCAAGCGUUGUCCGGAUUUAUUGGGCGUAAAGCGAGUGCAGGCGGUUCAAUAAGUCUGAUGUGAAAGCCUUCGGCUCAACCGGAGAAUUGCAUCAGAAACUGUUGAACUUGAGUGCAGAAGAGGAGAGUGGAACUCCAUGUGUAGCGGUGGAAUGCGUAGAUAUAUGGAAGAACACCAGUGGCGAGGGCGGCUCUCUGGUCUGCAUCUGACGCUGAGGCUCGAAAGCAUGGAUAGCGAACAGGAUUAGAUACCCUGGUAGUCCAUGCCGUAAACGAUGAGUGCUAAGUGU
rnacentral:rRNA from 1 species